GCGCAGCAGGCGCGAAACCUCCGCAAUGCGGGAAACCGCGACGGGGGACCCCGAGUGCCGUGGCAAUGCUACGGCUUUUCCGGAGUGUAAAAAGCUCCGGGAAUAAGGGCUGGGCAAGGCCGGUGGCAGCCGCCGCGGUAAUACCGGCGGCCCGAGUGGUGGCCGCUAUUAUUGGGCCUAAAGCGUCCGUAGCCGGGCCCGUAAGUCCCUGGCGAAAUCCCACGGCUCAACCGUGGGGCUUGCUGGGGAUACUGCGGGUCUUGGGACCGGGAGAGGCGAGGGGUACCCCUGGGGUAGGGGUGAAAUCCUAUAAUCCCCAGGGGGACCGCCAGUGGCGAAGGCGCCCCGCUGGAACGGGUCCGACGGUGAGGGACGAAGGCCAGGGGAGCAAAACC
rnacentral:rRNA from 1 species